GCAUGCGAGUUAUGGGUUCUUUGUGAACCCGGCAAACUGCUCAGUAACACGUGGACAACCUACCCUUGGGAUCGGUAUAACCCCGGGAAACUGGGGAUAAUACCGAAUAGGUCAUAGGUGUUGGAAAACCCUAUGACUGAAAUGCUCCGGCGCCCAAGGAUGGGUCUGCGGCCGAUUAGGUUGUUGCUAGGGUAGUGACCUAGCAAGCCUAUAAUCGGUACGGGCUCUGAGAGGAGGAGCCCGGAGACGGACUCUUAGACACGAGUCCGGGCCCUACGGGGCGCAGCAGGCGCGAAACCUUUACAAUGUGCGAAAGCACGAUAAGGGGAUCCCAAGUGCCAGCGCACUGCGUUGGCUGUUCUCUAGCCUAAAAAGCUAGAGGUAGUAAGGACCGGGCAAGACCGGUGCCAGCCGCCGCGGUAACACCGGCGGUCCAAGUGGUGGCCACUUUUAUUGGGCCUAAAGCGUCCGUAGCCGGCCAAGUAGGUCCUUUAGGAAAUCUGGUGGCUUAACCAUCAGGCGACUGAGGGAAACUACUUGGCUUGGGACCGGGAGAGGUUCCGGGUACCCCAGGGGUAGGGGUGAAAUCCUGUAAUCCCUGGGAGACCACCUGGGGCUAAAGCUCGGAACUAGAACGGGUCCGACGGUGAGGGACGAAAGCCAGGGGCACAAACCGGAUUAGAUACCCGGGUAGUCCUGGCCGUCAACGAUGCCCGCUAGGUGUAGGCCGUAGCACGUCUGCGGCCUGUGCCUUAGUGAAGACGUUAAGCGGGCCGCCUGGGAAGUACGUCCGCAAGGAUGAAACUUAAAGGAAUUGGCGGGGGAGCACCACAACGGGUGGAGCCUG
rnacentral:rRNA from 1 species